UACAGAGGGUGCGAGCGUUAAUCGGAAUUACUGGGCGUAAAGCGUGCGUAGACGGUAGCGUAAGUCAGAUGUGAAAGCCCCGGGCUCAACCUGGGAAUUGCAUUUGAGACUGCUCUGCUCGGGUGCGGAAGAGGGAAGCGGAAUUUCCGGUGUAGCGGUGAAAUGCGUAGAUAUCGGGAGGAACACCGGUGGCGAAGGCGGUUCUCUGGGCCGUAACUGACGCUGAGGAGCGAAAGCGUGGGGAGCGAACAGGGAUUG
rnacentral:rRNA from 1 species